rnacentral:tRNA from 1 species
GGAGUUAUAGUCAACUAUGACAUAUGAAUUGCAAUUAUAAAGUGUUUUUUAAACUAACUUCA